UGGGUGUGAGAGGAGGCCAGGCUGCUCCAGAUCUGCUCCAGUCUGUGGAGGCAGAUGGACCUGGAUCAGGCUCCACUAGGUGGGGCCUGUAGCUGCUCUCUGCUCUGCAGAGCUGAGGGGAGAGCAGAGCCGCUGGCAGACACUGAACUCCUCACUUCCUUUCUUUCUUUCUCCUCUAGCAGAGCAGCGGGGCUUCCUCAGCUGCGCGGCCGCCCCACAGCGCUCCCUGCGCGGACUGCUCCUGCAGCAGGCCCCGCUCCAUCGGAGGACACCAUAGAAAGUCCCAGAUCGGUCCGGUUCGGUACCGGCCCGUCCGCCUCCCAGGCUGCUUCUGGCGGGCUGAACCAGCUCUCCUGCGACCGGAUAUUAACCUCCACGCCAUGAAUGGUGGAUUAAUUUAAAAAAACAAGCAGAAAAAGAGGAAAUCUGUAACGGGAGUACUUACAAUCAUCCACCCGUCCGCUGUGCUGCGCCUCGCUCUCUCUCCUGCUGGCUGUGAUGCUCUCUCUACCAGAGCCGCUCCCUCCUGCCGCUUCAGCUCUCUGACGUCAAGUGUGACGUGACCCUGAAACGACGAACAACCAGCAUGUGUGGGAGGGAGCAGAGCAUGCCGGAGCGUGUUGACACCAACACGUCUCAACCCUCACACACGGGUCAUGUUCCUGUUGCUACCGAGUGCUCAGUUACUGAACCAAAUCUACGUCCAGCGGCCUGAAGCUGGAGUCCGAGCCGUCAGCCGACGCCCUGAAGAACAAGGUGUUUUCUGCAGAGAUCCAGUGUCGUGAAGCCACACCUAAACAGGAAGGAGUCACCAAGAAUAGAGUGGACCUCCACCCAACCAGCUUCCCUUCCACUGACACACACUUCCUCUAAGUCAGUUUGAUGCUUUAUGUAAAUUCCUGCUUUUGCUUUUUUCAGUUAAAAC